rnacentral:rRNA from 1 species
UGCAGUCGAACGGCAGCACGGAGCUUGCUCUGGUGGCGAGCGGCGAACGGGUGAGUAAUGCGUCGGAACGUAUCCAAUAAUGGGGGAUAACGCAGCGAAAGCUGUGCUAAUACCGCAUACGCCCUCCGGGGGAAAGCAGGGGAUCUUAGGACCUUGCGUUAAUGGAGCGGCCGACGUCUGAUUAGCUAGUUGGUAGGGUAAAGGCCUACCAAGGCGACGAUCAGUAGCUGGUCUGAGAGGAUGAUCAGCCACACUGGGACUGAGACACGGCCCAGACUCCUACGGGAGGCAGCAGUGGGGAAUUUUGGACAAUGGGCGCAAGCCUGAUCCAGCCAUUCCGCGUGAGUGAAGAAGGCCUUCGGGUUGUAAAGCUCUUUCAGGAGGGAAGAAACGAUUGUGGCUAAUACCCAUGAUUAAUGACGGUACCUUCAGAAGAAGCACCGGCUAACUACGUGCCAGCAGCCGCGGUAAUACGUAGGGUGCGAGCGUUAAUCGGAAUUACUGGGCGUAAAGCGUGCGCAGGCGGUUUUUCAAGUCUGAUGUGAAAUCCCCGGGCUUAACCUGGGAACUGCGUUGGAAACUGAAAGACUAGAGUGCGGCAGAGGGGGGUAGAAUUCCACGUGUAGCAGUGAAAUGCGUAGAUAUGUGGAGGAAUACCGAUGGCGAAGGCAGCCCCCUGGGUCGACACUGACGCUCAUGCACGAAAGCGUGGGUAGCAAACAGGAUUAGAUACCCUGGUAGUCCACGCCCUAAACGAUGUCAACUAGUUGUUGGGGAGGGAGACCUCCUUAGUAACGCAGCUAACGCGUGAAGUUGACCGCCUGGGGAGUACGGUCGCAAGAUUAAAACUCNAAGGAANUGACNGGGGGCCCGCACAAGCGGUGGAUUAUGUGGAUUANUUCGAUGCAACGCGAAAAACCUUACCUACCCUUGAC